rnacentral:lncRNA from 1 species
AUGACGACCGCGUCCACCUCGCAGGUGCGCCAGAACUACCACCAGUACUCAGAGGCCGCCAUCAACCGCCAGAUCAACCUGGAGCACUACGCCUCCUAAGUUUACCUGUCCCUGUCUUACUACUUUGACCGCGAUGAUGUGGCUUUGAAGAACUUUGCCAUGCUGAGAAACUGAUGAAGCUGCAGAACCAAUGAGGUGGCCGAAUCUUCCUUCAGGAUAUCAAGAAACCAGACUGUGAUGACUGGGAGAGCGGGCUGAAUGCGAUGGAGUGUGCAUUACAUUUGGAAAAAAAUGUGAAUCAGUCACUACUGGAACUGCACAAACUGGCCACUGACAAAAAUGACCCCCAUUUGUGUGACUUGAGAUACAUUACCUGAAUGAGCAGGUGAAAGCCAUCAAAGAAUUGGGUGACCACGUGACCAACUUGCGCAAGAUGGGAGCGCCCGAAUCUGGCGUGGGAGAAUAUCUCUUUGACAAGCACACUCUGGGAGACAGUGAUAAUGAAAGCUAAGCCUCAGGCUAAUUUCCCCAUAGCCAUGGGGUGACUUCCCUGGUCACCAAGGCAGUGCAUGCAUGUUGGGGUUUCCUUUACCUUUUCUAUAAGUUGUACCAAAACAUCCACUUAAGUUCUUUGAUUUGUACCAUUCCUUCAAAUAAAGAAAUUUGGUACCCAAAAAAAAAAGAG